UCUGCUGAGCCUGUGUAUCUAAUCCUGUUAUGUGUGAUACUGUCUGCUGAGCCUGUGCAUCUAAAUCUGUCAUGUGUGAUACUGUCUGAUUAGCCUGUUUAUCUGACGUUGCGCAGGGGGACGUCACUCGUCAUCAGAGAGAGCCAGCGUUGCUGUCGCGCACCACCACUACCGCCGCCGCUGGCAUAAAUAGGGUUUUGUGUAAACAGUCAAAAAUUGAAAACAAACAUGAAAAAAAACAUCCAGGCUUAGAACAUUUCGACUGACAGUUAAAGCUGACAUUUUUGAGCCCAAAGCGCUAAAAACUUACAUAACUAUGAAUUUGCAGGUGCAGUAUAAAAUGAGAGAGUUCAUAGGUUGUGAUGAUGGACAAAGAUAAAAACUUUAAAAAGGCCAGGUCAUACAUUAUAAAAUGCCUAUAAAUAUGUAAUAUGGAGAUUUAUUUGAAAAAAAAAACCUGUGCAGAGUAAAAGCGGAGCAGUUACUUAUAACAACCAGAUUGCUUAUUUUAUUUCUCCGAAGCCUUUUU